UGGGGAAUAUUGCACAAUGGAGCGAACUCUGAUGCAGCGACGCCGCGUGAACGAAGAAGGCUUUCGAGUCGUAAAGUUCUUUUAUAUGGGAAGAUAAUGACGGUACCAUAAGAAGAAGCCCCGGCUAACUACGUGCCAGCAGCCGCGGUAAUACGUAGGGGGCUAGCGUUGUCCGGAAUCACUGGGCGUAAAGGGUUCGCAGGCGGAAAUGCAAGUCAGGUGUAAAAGGCAGUAGCUUAACUACUGUAAGCAUUUGAAACUGCAUAUCUUGAGAAGAGUAGAGGUAAGUGGAAUUUUUAGUGUAGCGGUGAAAUGCGUAGAUAUUAAAAAGAAUACCGGUGGCGAAGGCGACUUACUGGGCUCAUUCUGACGCUGAGGAACGAAAGCGUGGGUAGCAAACAGG
rnacentral:rRNA from 1 species